GUUAGCGAGGCGAGGAUGUGAAGUCCCCACCCGCGAGAAAUCUACAAGUUAUACUGAUAGGACCCGAAAGGCAGUGAACUAUACCUGCUCUGCUUGACGCCACGGCAAACCGUGGUUGAGGAGCUAAGUCGUAUUGAUGUUCAACUCAUUGACAGGAAGUGGGUAUAGGGGCGAAAGACCAAUCGAACUGCCUGGUAGCUGGUUCCGGCCGAAAUGUCUCUCAGGACAGCGGUGUCUGCGAAUAGGAAGAUGCGGUAGAGAGGAUGUCGACCUUGUCAACAAACUCCGAAUGCGUCAUUGUGUUGCGAUUGCAUCCAACAUGAUCAUCUAUAAGACACUAGUGGGCGCCUUGUGGUAAGCAUGCGGCGCAAAAAGGGAUGAACCUAGCAGUGGGGUAAGGUGCCUAAAGGAAAACAAAGAGAAAAAGCGUUUGGCAGAUUAGGACAGUGGGGCGGUGGCCAUGGAGGUCGGCAUCCGCUAAGAAACGUGUUACAACGUACCCACCGAAUCUGCGAAUGCUGAAAAUGGAUGGCGCUUAUUUCCAUACCGAGCCCCACAUGGUACAGCCACGUAGGCCGGCACGUGUGCAUCUGAGAAGACCCGCCGUGAGGUGUGUUGGAGAUGUUCACGGAGCAGAUCUUGGAAGUAGUAGCAUCAUUUGUAUGUGCCAAUGGAGGCGGGUUUGUCCCUUUUAUAGAAGGGAGUGAUACGAGCCUAGUAAAAGGGAAUAUAGUAGAUAUUCUAUAUAAAUGGACCUAUGUGGCGACACGACCCGCACCCCAAGGACCUUUGCCGGUGAAAAUUUUCCGGGAAACCCAAAUCUUUGACCGUCUCCCUAAAAAAAAAAACCAAUUGGGCGGUAAAAUGAAAGAAAUUCUCUUUUCCAAACCGCCAACGGAGCCCCCGGGGAAAAACCCCAGGGCA
rnacentral:ncRNA from 1 species